rnacentral:rRNA from 1 species
UGGGCGUUAAGUUGCAGGGUAUAGACCCGAAACCCGGUGAUCUAGCCAUGGGCAGGUUGAAGGUUGGGUAACACUAACUGGAGGACCGAACCGACUAAUGUUGAAAAAUUAGCGGAUGACCUGUGGCUGGGGGUGAAAGGCCAAUCAAACCGGGAGAUAGCUGGUUCUCCCCGAAAGCUAUUUAGGUAGCGCCUCGUGAAUUCAUCUCCGGGGGUAGAGCACUGUUUCGGCUAGGGGGCCAUCCCGGCUUACCAACCCGAUGCAAACUGC